AACAUGUAAAACGUCUCAGCAUUUUAGGGUUUUGAUGUUGUUCUGCAGUCUUUAAACACAUUCUCAGAUGAAAUUGAAGUGAAACAAUAGGCAGUAUUGGAGACAUCAAUGGCGAAACGAAACCUUCUGAAACGAACCCAAGCACCAAUUCUGCACAUGCCGAGACUCAGCCCUUUGAAUUUGAUUCUCAGUUUCUCGAUUCUCCUUUUUCUGGAGAUGAUAUUGAGAAUGGUGGUGAAUUAAACUUUCUACAAGAUACGGUUCCUGUAGAUAAUAACAAUUUUCCAAUUGAGGAUGAAUUUGACUCUCAGUUUCCCGAUUCUACUUUUUGUCUUGACAGAGAUGAUAAUGAGGAUGAUGAUGGUGAUGAUGAAUUAAAGUUUCUACAAAAUACAGUUUCUGUAGAUCAUAAUAAUGUUCCAAUUGAGGAUGAGUUCGAGACUCAAUGUCUGAACCUUGGUGAGGAAACUCAAAUGUUGAACUUUGGCGACGAAACACAAGUGUUGGAUGAUUUAGAUUGCUGCGAGAAUACGGAGACCCAGUUGUUGGAUGAAUUCGAUGGCGGCGCUUCUCUUGAAAGUGAAGGUGAAGGAACAGAUGAAACCGAGGUUUUGGAUGAUGGUGAUGAGGUCUCAGGUGAUGACGUAGUA